GACGAACGCUGGCGGCGUGCUUAACACAUGCAAGUCGAACGGAAAGAUCCUGCUUUUGUCUGGUGCUCGCGUGGCGAACGGGUGUGUUACCCGUGAGUAACCUGCCCUUGACUUUAGGAUAACUUCAGGAAACUGGGGCUAAUACCUGCUAGGAGAUCCUGCUGCAGGGUGGGGGUCGGACAGUUUAGGCGGUGGUGGCUGGACUUCCGGGUUACCAGCUUGUUGGUUGGUGAGUGGCUUACCCAGCGAUUGGCGGGUGGGCGGCCUUGGAGGGUGGCCGGGGACAUUGGGACUAAGAUACGGCGCAGACUCGUACGGGAGACAGCAGUGGAGAAUAUGGCACAAUGGGCGGAAGUCUGAUGCAGAGACGCCGCGUGCGUGAUGACGGCCAUCGGGUUGUAAACCGCUGUAGCCUGUGACGAAGCGUGAGUGACGGUAAUAGGUAAAGAAGCACCGGCUAACUACGUG
rnacentral:rRNA from 1 species